UUUUAAAUCCCAGAUUUUUCACUUUUUUAUUUUAAUAUUCUAUAAUUUAAAAUAUAUAAAUUUAGUAUCACGUGAUUUUAUUUUUCUUUUUUAGUCAGUCCUUUCAUUGACUUUUCGUUAAACUAUAUACAAAAAAACUACAAAUACUCCAUCUAAUCGAAUAUUCACUUUAAUAUCUUUUAAUUUUAACUUUAUUAUUGAUUUAACGAAAAAAGUUAGUGAAGAAAAUUAACAAAAAUAUAAAAUUAUAAAAUAUAAAAGUAAUAUACUUUAAAUCAUAGAGUACUAAAAUAAAAAAAAAAGUAAGAAAUUAUAUUAGUGGUAUUUAAAAGUUUUUUUUUUUUGGUGGAGCCCCACCACCAAAUAUAUAUAUAUAUAUAUAGAGAGAGAGAGAGGUGAGACAAAGAGAGAGAGAGAGAGAGAGAGAGAGAGAGAGAGAGAGAGAGAGAGAGGUGGUGGCUUGUGUGGGUGUUAUAAUAUUUUUGCUUUUGUAGGUGAGGAGGUGGUUGUUUGGUGGAGAGAGAGAGAGAGAGAAGAGAGAGAGAGAGAGAGAGGGACCAUUUACCUCAUUAAUAGUUAUUUGAAUUGUUUUAUAAUAAAUGAGAAUUUUUGUUGAGAGAGAGAGAGAGAGAGGGACCAUUUACCUCAUUAAUAGUUAUUUGAAUUGUUUUAUAAUAAAUGAGAAUUUUUGUUGGAUUGGAUUUUGUGGUGUUGAACCCACUUGAGUACUUGACCAUCCACCUAUGGACAUUGGGAGGAAUUCUACACUAUCACAUUUACACUACAUCAUUAAUAACAAGUCAAUCAUCUUUCUUCUUUUCAAAUAAAAAUAUAAUAAAAAUAUUUUUUAUAAUCAUAAUGGGACAUAUAUCUCUAAAAAAAAAAUUUUAAUUGAUUUGUUAUGCCACAUCACCAAUAUACCCAUUGCAUUCUAGAAUUUUUCCAACAUUGGAAACAAAUUAAGAUAAAUUUUUUUGUAAAAAAAAGAGUCCUAAUACAACUAAACUGAUUUACAAUUCCUAAAAAACUUAAUUCUUUAAAUAUCAUUAUUAUAUAUCAUUAUCACAUCAGCAGUACAUAAGAAUAUUAUUUUAAAAUUACCAUUAAUAUAUAAUAAAAAUUUUAAAAAUUGAUUUUGUAUCAUGCGAAA
rnacentral:lncRNA from 1 species